AGGGUUUGAUCCUGGCUCAGGAUGAACGCUAGCGGCGCGCUUAACACAUGCAAGUCGCGCGAUCGGACCGGACCUGACUCCUUCGGGAUGACGGACCGGUUACGGAGCGGCGGACUGGUGAGUAACACGUAGCUAACCUCCCUUCGGGCGGGAAAUAGCAUCGGGAAACUGAUGUUAAUAUCCCAUAACCAUGAGAGAACCCAAGUUCUCCCAUUAAAGUGGUUUCGACCAUACCUGAAGAUGGGGCUGCGUCCUAUUAGCUUGACGGUGAGGUAAAGGCUCACCGUGGCGAAGAUAGGUAGGGGGCCUGAGAGGGCGAUCCCCCACACUGGGACUGAGACACGGCCCAGACUCCUACGGGAGGCUGCAGUGGGGAAUCUUGCGCAAUGGUCGAAAGGCUGACGCAGCGACGCCGCGUGGAGGACGAAGGCCUUCGGGUUGUAAACUCCUUUUCUGGGGGAAGAAUAAGAUGAGUAGGCAAUGGCUCACCGAUGACGGUACCUCAGGAACAAGCGCCGGCUAACUUCGUGCCAGCAGCCGCGGUAAGACGAAGGGCGCAAGCGUUAUCCGGAAUUACUGGGCGUAAAGGGCGUCUAGGCGGUCAGUCAAGUCAGUCGUGAAAGUCCUUGGCUAAACUGAGGAAAGUCGACCGAUACUGAUUGACUAGAGGGACGUAGAGGGAAGCGGAACUCUCGGAGUAGCGGUGAAAUGCGUAGAGACCGAGAGGUACCUCGAUGGUGAAGACAGCUUCCUGGGCGUCUCCUGACGCUGAAGCGCUAAGGCCAGGGGAGCGAAGGGGAUUAGAUACCCCCGUAGUCCUGGCUUCAAACUAUGUGGGCUUGGUGUCGGCUCCCGAUAGAGAGUCGUUGCCGGAGCUAACGUGUUAAGCCCACCGCCUGGGGAUUACGUCCGCAAGGAUGAAACUCAAGGGAAUUGACGGGGGCCCACACAACCGGUGGAGCACGUGGUUUAAUUCGAUGAUAAGCGAAGAACCUUACCAGGGCUUGACCUAGCGGUAGUAGGACCCUGAAAAGGGAACGACCUCAAGCUUUGCUUGAGGAGCCGUGGCAGGUAUUGCAUGGCUGUCGUCAGCUCGUGUCGUGGGACGUUGGGUUAAGUCCCGUAACGAGCGCAACCCCUGCCCUUAAUUGCCAGCGGGUAAUGCCGGGGACUAUAAGGGGACUGCCGGAGAAUAUCCGGAGGAAGGAGGGGAUGACGUCAAGUCAUUAUGAUCCUUAUGCUCUGGGCUACACACGUGCUACAAUGGACGGUACAGAGAGCAGCUACACAGCGAUGUGAUGCUAAUCUUCAAAGCCGUUCUCAGUCCGGAUUAGAGUCUGCAACUCGACUCUAUGAAGCUGGAUUCGCUAGUAAUCGCACAUCAGCCAUGGUGCGGUGAAUACGUUCCCGGGCCUUGUACACACCGCCCGUCAAGCCAUGGAAGUUGGAGGUACCUGAAGUCGAUUGCCAAUUAAGGCGUUGCCUAGGGUAAAUCCAAUGACUGGGGCUAAGUCGUAACAAGGUAGCCG
rnacentral:rRNA from 1 species